rnacentral:lncRNA from 1 species
GCCGGCCCGGCACCGGCCUAGGGUCGCUGGCGCGCAGUGCGCCCACGGUCCCGGCGUCCGCUCCCGGAGUGCGCCCCGGCGCGGUGGAGCGGGAGGACGGGCCUCGGCUUCCGCCGGUGCUCUGCAAGGAAGCGCGGCCGAGGAGGACGUCCUCCCUCGUCGCACGUCUCCGGGCAGUCGCUCUGUCCCACGCUCUGUGGGAGUCUUUGGAGCGCAGUGAGGAACCAGGCAGAGGCAGUCACCGCCUCGGUCCGCGGUCUGGUGGCACCAGUGACCGCCUACCCUCCCGGUGCCUGGUGCUGGGCGGCCGAGGGAGUGUGCUCAGGUUGCGUGGGCGCUCAGAGGAGCCCCUCCCUGCUCCGCUCUGCCCGCCUCCGCCGGCGCGGAGGGUGCAGGAAGCGUUAGUGUAGAGGGAGAGCCCUGUGCACAACACCGACACCGCCGCCCGUCCUUCCCACUUGGCCUAAGCUGCCCUCCGCUCCUGGACCCUUUCCCUCUGCACUUCACCCCUUUGUUACCUGCUAUUCUCCCCCAGCCUACACCCGGAGGGAUGGGCUAAGGUCUGUUUGAGGAGGCACCUUGGUCGGAUCCAUAAGAUCAGGGAGUGCAGGGGGGGCUGCCGUUGACAGGCUCUGAGCUGAAAGUUGGGGCAGAAAUUGUAGGAUGCCUCAGCGUGUGAGGUACAACCCAGUGUGUGAACCUUACAUCAUGGAUAACUUUCUACCCUGCCUUGCUGUUUCUUGAAGCCAUAUGAACAAAUGAAGCCAGAGGGCUGAGGACUUGAUGCUUGUCCUUGGGCAGCAGUGCAAGUUGAUGGCAAAGGAGAGGGAGGCUCUGAGACAAGGAUUAGAUACCUGGGAAGGUGUAAGAGAGUGAAUGGCUCAGCUCAGGGGGACUUCGGGGUGAGCUGGGGUUCAGCUCUAUUAUGGUGCAAUGGGAGACAGGUAGUGUCAUUGUUGAGAUGGACAUGGGCAGCAAACUGGGGUUUUCAGUGGGGUGUUUGUUGCCCUUGAAAUCUCCCAGGCUUGCGACAGCAAGCUCUGGAGGUCUGACAACGUUUCUCUUUUAAUCUUGUAUUUGUGUGUGUGUGUGUCUGUGUGUGUGUGUUUGGUGUAGAUGAUUGAACUCAGGGCCUUUAAGCCCACUCUUCCACUGAGCUGCACCCCCAUUCCCCGCUGUGCAGGCUAGGCACAGUGAGAGCCUGUUCUCACUGUCAUGGUGCUUCAGCUUUUGUGGGAGGGCGAAUGGAGUUGCUGAAAUGGGCUGAUACAGUUGGGGUAGGGAAGGAUGCAGAAGAGUCUCAUCUCUUUGGACUUUCUGCUGCCUUGUGUUGCAGAAACAGGUCAGCAGCCCCUUUCCAACAAGGCUCAUUUUUAUUGCAUUGUCUGACUUAUUGUUUCAAUCUUCCCUUCUCUGCUGCCAGACCUGCUUCAACUUGGGGUUCAUCACCUUGGGUUUUUUCUCGCUUCCCCAUGAACAGUCAUCUUCUCACAAAGGCCCUCCUUGGCUGCUAUAGCUUAAUAUGCCUCACACUUUUCAUCUUGUGUUUUUAUUUUUUUUUCUUAGUGUUCCUUACUACAGAAAUCAUCUUAGAUGUCAACUGCAUGUUGUUUGUCAGCACCUGACCACGAGACUCCAGAGGAGUUGUUUUUCUCUCCCCUGUUGUGGUGCUCAGCACUGAGUCUUGUCACAUAGUGAGAAGCAUGGUUCCAUAUGAAGGGACCUGAAUAGAUGGCAGAUAGCCUUCUCUAGCCAGCCCCACUCUAGGGGUCUGACCCUGAUACUGUUAACAAUGCUAAUUGCUGCAACCUGUGGCUUUCUUUCCAUGUGCAGGGACUGGCUACCUAAAAUACUUCAUUUCAGAGAGACUCAGUAAAUCUUCAUGGCAACCCUAGAAGAGAACAUUCCCCUUUACAACUAGGACCUAAGGCCUAGAUACAUUAUGUUAUUUGUCCUAAGUCACUUAAAUUUUUUUUAAACUAUAAUGGAAAUAGUUUGUUCUGGGCAGAACUGGUGUUUGCACCCCAAAGAGGGGACUUCCUGUCCCUCGAGGUACUGUUGCCUGGUGCUGGGGAACAUUACGUCUUCAAAGCAUGCCAUUUUCAUUGCCAGAGGGUGACAGCAUAUGACUAGAUACGAUGAUAAGUGACAAUUUUCUUCACACUUUUUUUAGUGAUUGGUUAGAAUAGAACUCUGGAUUCAAUAUGAUUAAAAGCUUCAUUCUUCCAUGAAUGGGGUGAACAGGGUGGGAUGUCCUGUGGAAUAUCUCCCACUGGACUGAAUUUUUCCAGGAAGUCUCAUGUGAGCUGUGUCCUGCUCUCCGCAGUGUCCUUGUCCACACUGGUUGGUGUAAUUUGGGGGAGUGGGAAGUUUUACAGUGCCCAGGUUUACCUGUUUACAGAUGUCUCUGGCUGCACCUGCAGAAACAGCCUCUGCUCUGUGGGGGGGAAUGUCAGAGGGCCCUCUUUCUUUUGGUUCUCUGGGGUGCUGUUUCUGAGCAGCAGUGGGACUGAGCUGGUCAGUGGAGCAUCUGAAGCAGUUCCAGGCAAGGUGGGGUGUGGGGCUAGGUUGGCCAAAGUGUUGGGGCCCCUUGGCCAGGUCUCCCCAGUGGGCCAGCUGUGUUCUUCCCACACCUUUAGAAGCCUGAGGAUCUGAGUAGUGUGCCUUGGAUGAGUCAACUGGCCUCUGGUUCUGUCUAUGCAUGGUUCCAGGGUGGGCAUAGCCAUCCCUUCUUGUUCUUGAGCAGGGAUCAGGGAGGGGUGCAUUCUACCUUGUUCCUGCUGCACAGCCUCUAAGAACAUGUGAAGGCUCAUUACCAAGUUCUUCCAUCCCCACAAUACUGCCCACCUCCUGUCUGCCCUUGCCAUCCCAUAGGACAUGGCAGUUGCUGUUCUCUCUGGGUGUGGGUCCAAGCUCCCAGUUGCCCUUGGACAGUGUGCUGUUGGGGAGGGAGGCUUGGGCUUGACCAGAGCCUGUGAAAGGACCAGGAGACUGAUGCUAAGCUGAGGGCUGUCCACAUGUGUACAGGCUGCUGCCUCAGGAGGAAGGUAGUCACCUUGUCUUCCAGCCUGGCCCAGUCUGUCAGCAGGAGAGGGUAGCUUUCUUUGGCAUGGGACAGGAGCACCACUUGCUCUCUACCUUUUUCCUCCCUGUCCGUUCGUGGGGACUUGCUGCCAUUCAGGUCUGCCCCAGGGUGCUCUGCUUUCUGCCAGGACCUGGGCAGCUGUUGGUGUGAUCAUGGGUUGAGGAGUGGGCAGUGUAAGUGGGGGUAGUUCUGGGACUAUUCAGGGGCCCAGCUGAAGCUGGACCCUUCCUGUGCCCUUGAAUAGCCUUCCUUGCUCAGCCCUUCACUUGGGAAGAGGAGAGGGCCUGGUAGAGUGUGACUUUCAGUUACAGCAUCUCCUUCCUGCCUGCAGCAGGUCAAUGGCCAACAAGGAGGGGGGUCCGAGCCAGCAGCGGCGGCAGUGGUGGCAGCGGGAGACAAAUGGAAACCUCCACAGGUACUGAUCUCAAGCAUCCUCUCCCUCAGGCCGCCUGUCUGCCCGCCCGCCUGUCUGCCCGCCCGCCUGCCUGCCCGCCUACCCGCCUGCCUGCAUGUCCCUGGGGCCAGAGAGGCCUGGCUAGGGCAGGUGGGGAGAAGCCCAGGGAUCCUUCCCUGCCUUCUGAGCAGACAUCGUCUGCAAGACUGUGGCCCAUCCCUGAGCCUCUCCUGAUCCCUCCCCACCCUAUUUCUGGCCUGGCUUCUCUCCUAUGGGUCUCUCCUGCCUCAAGCCCUGGUCAGGGCCUGGCAGUGGGCUGGCUGGGCAGGGGCAUUGGGUACUGCACUUUAGCUGUGCUUGCUCCUUGCUGCCAACUUGGUGCAGAAGGGGGUAGACUUUCUGUUGCAAGACAGGCAAUGUUUUGUUUAGAGCCAGAAGUACAGAUUUUCAUUUUAGUUUUGUUUUUAUUUAGACAACAAAACAACAUACAAAGUCAAAGCACAAGUGUGGGAAUCCAGCCCCCACCUUCUCUGCAUCCCAGGCUCAGGGUGGGUGAAACAGGUCUUGUCCUGCUCUAGUAAAAUGGCCCAUGGGAGCAAGCCCUCUGGGAAGUGGAGCUGGGCUCUGUUGUCACUGGGUGACAGUUUUCUUUGUGCCUGUCUGUGGCUGUACCUGCCACCAGAGGGUUCUGGCAGGCCUCUUGGGCCUAGUCCCUCCUCCUGGCCCCCAGGCACCCUCAGGAGUGGGACAGGGGUGUGGUGUGUCACCUAGACCCUGGGAAGCUUUGGGUCUGAAGCUCCAACCCCAGCUGCUGUCCAGCAGCCAUUGGUGGGUGGGAGAAGGGCCUUUUGUUCACCAAGACAAAGAGGAGAUUGAAAAGUUUCUAGGGGGUGAGGGGAACUGGCAUUGAUUUCCAUGGUGACAGCCUGCUCUAGCAUUCCAGCUUCUGCUUGGGCCCUCUCCCACUAAGGAGGAAUGGGCUUGGGGCCAGCUGGGAGGGCAAAGAAAGGCCUAGUAUGAGCCAUACUGCAGCUCACCCACUGCCAGACCUUGCUAUAUCUUGGGGCCUGCUUGCAGUUCUGGUUGCCCAGGAAGGCCUUCUAGCCUUCUUACCUUUUGACCUUGGGCUAGAAACCCCGCACUCAGGAGUCCAGGAUGGGGGUCUUAGAGUUUGGGUCAGCUGAACCCUGCUGGCUUUCUUUGAUCCCCAGCCGUUGCUCCCACUCAUGGUCUGGAUUCUUUCCUCUCUUUCCCUCUCAAGGCUGUGUCUGGAAGCCGGGAAGGGUGUUGGUCUUUUGAGUUGGUAGGCAGGCAGGCAGGCUCUGUCCACCCUCCAUCCCACCACCCCCGCUCUGCUGGCUCUAGUGCUGGGCUUCUCUCCCUGCUUGGAUGGCUGUGUCCCCCUGCAAAAACCUGGAAGUGGAUUAGACAAAAGGAAUGUAAACAUGACCCUAAACAUAAUCCACUUAGGUUCGCAGCCUGCUGUGGCGAGCCCACCCCUGCCCAAGUGCCUCCUGGUUUGUUGACGUGGUUGGCUGGGUGCUGUCUCCCUGGGGUUGCUCUGUUCCUGGUUCUCCCAGGGGGCUUAGCACAUCGUGAAGUCUGAUAGAGGCAGGCUGGAGCCCCCUUAGGGCUCAUGUGGCCUGGGAGUGCUUAGACUCUGUGAUGUGUGCACAGGGCCUUGUCUGUAGGGCCAAGGAUGGACAUUGUCAGGAAGGAGGCCCUUUGUCUGUACUUGCUCCUUGGCCGGCCCCUGGAACUCGAAGCUGUGUCUGUGUCCAUAACAGGGGCUGUGAACAAUCUUAAGAGGCCAGGAUGCCAGGUGGCAUAGGAGUAAGGAGUCCCUGAAUGCCCUGAAAAUACCAGCCCUACUCCUCCUUCCCUGGAAAACAGCUAGCCUGGAUCCCCUGCAGGAGGUGGGGUGGAAGCUCUGGGAGCAGUCUGGCAACGAGGGCUGGCUCCUUUCCUAUCACCCCCUACCUGCCUGGGUAGCUCCUAAGGAGUCUUCUGUGGUCUGGGCCCCUUAACUGCUUCAGGAUGGUGCCAGGGCCCCCAGAGUACCCACUUGCCUCAGUCUAUGUUCCACCCAUGGGUCCUGGGGGAGAAAGGCCUAGGAUGGGGACAGCAGAGUUAGAAGGGGGUCCUAUAUCCACGCAGUCAGUAGACAGCCUGGUUUUGGGCUGGUCCCUCCCUGGGAAGAGGCUGGGGAGAUGGAGGGUGGGGUUUCUGGGACCACACAAGGGAGACCUGAGCCUGCUGCUACAUGACUCCCUUGCUUCACCUUCUAGGGCACAGAUUCCAUCAAGAUGGAGAAUGGACAGAGCACAGCCGCCAAGCUGGGGCUGCCUCCCCUGACGCCUGAGCAGCAGGAGGCCCUCCAGAAGGUGAGCACCUUCCUCCAGAGCCUGUGGGCAUGGCUGCUGAGCUGGGUGAGUGGGGGCACACCAUCUCCCUGCGGGCGGGCCCCCCAGUGCUCCUCACUGCUGUCUCUCGCAGGCCAAGAAGUAUGCCAUGGAGCAGAGCAUCAAGAGCGUGCUGGUGAAGCAGACCAUCGCACACCAGCAGCAGCAGCUCACCAACCUGCAGGUGAGCCCCACCACUCUCCCUCCACCCCACUUCACUGUCUCGGGGGCUGGCUCUGCUGGAGGCUGUCCUGCCCAGCCUGGGCCAGGAGGCCUCCACUGCCCCUCCCCAUCACCUACACCAUCUCCUCCUCCUCCUUCUCUUCCUCCUCCUGUGCCUGUGGCCAUCCCCUAAAGGUGUUAUGAUUCUCAUACUCUCAAGGACUCAUUCUCAAGAUCCCAGGGUCCUCCCUGAGGCUCCAGCGGCCCAGCUUUUCUGCCUGUUGCUCACUAUGGCCCCUUCUCACCUGCCUCCCUGCUCCUUCUCUGUAGCUCUGCCCCAUUCACCCUUGGGGUCUCCCCCACACCCUUGUCCCCCAGGCUGUGCACAGCUAUAGUGGCACUGUGUAGGGUAUGUCCUCCCUACCCCCAUGGUCAGGCCCCACCCUUCUGCAUCCAGACCACCUGGGCUGGGACCCAGGACUGAGGGGACAGUCUAGGGGUGCCUCACUGGGCCAUGCUCUAGACUAGAGGCUGUGCUUUCUGUGUGGGGCCAGUAGGUUCCUGGGCCUUGUGCCCUCCCCCUGCCCAGGCCAGUCCUCAGACAUUCACGCUGCCAGGAGAUGUCCUGGCUGUUCACCGUGCUCCAUCAGUCCCUCUCCUCCCUCCCUCCCUUCCUUCUGCCCUGGCCAGUCCUGCUGCAAAGUCUGCAGGGCAGGGCACCUGGGGCUCUGCGGCCCCCCUGGGCAGGUGCCGUUGCAGUGUGGGAAGGCAGGCGGGCCUCCCUGGCAGGGCGGGGACUCCGGGCCUGGCCGCUGUCUGCGUGAGGUGUUGACGAGAGCGGGAGACUGCUCGGCUCCAACAGACUGAACUCUGUCUUUACUGUCUUUCAGAUGGCAGCAGUGACAAUGGGCUUUGGAGAUCCUCUCUCACCUUUGCAAUCGGUCAAUAGAAAUGCUCACUUCUUCCGGGGCUCAUGUCCUUAGUCAGGGCUAGAGGGGGGCAGUGCAGCCCACUGCUGGGGACCUUGCUCCCCUGGCCGGCCCUGCCCGUCAGCUCUGGACGAGCACAGCAGAGCGCCAGGCAUGGCGGGGCCAGUGGUGUGGGCACCCACCCCGGGACCGCCCCUGGGGAGGCCUCCAUCUGCUCUGAGGGCCCGCCUUAAAACUAACCGGCCAGGUAACUGCAGAGGGCAGCCGCGGCAGCCAGCCAGGGAGGGUAGCUGCCGGUGCCAGGCUCGUCUGUGCCCUGCUGCCCCACGCAGGGUGCACCACGGGCCACCAGGUCGCCAGUCUCCAGGCUGCCUAGGCUCUUGGGUUGGGCUGAAGACCCUGAGGAGAGAGGGGUCCUGACUUGUGGCCCCAUCAGACCCUGGAGGGAGGACGGAGGGGAGGUGGGGGGUGGGGGGAUGAGUGAGUGAGAAAGGGAAGGGCGAAGAUUUGGGCCAUGGGCCUGGGCUGUCAGCAAGGUCUAGAGGCCAAGGAGGAGGCAGAGGCCAUAGCUGCGGGGCUGCAGCAAGCAGAGUCUUUUCCUGCCCCACAGGCAGUCUGAGGCGGCCAGACACCAUCCUGGGGAGGAUCCUGAGGGGGAGAUAUGGCCCUUUCUCUGGGGGCCAUUUGGAGGACUUGGGCCAAUCCUGAGCGAGCUUCCCUCAUUGGGGAGACACUGUGUGUCAGAAAGGCAGCUGUCGACCCUCUGAAGACACCUGGGCUAUGGGGGUUGUGGUCAGGGAGAAAGCUGUUUGCCCACCUGUAGAUGGGGAGUCCCACCUUGAAGGGGAGGCAUGGCCCUUUCUUGGGGAACAUAGGCCUGAGGGACAGAUGGGGCUUCAUCUUGAUGUAAGCGGAAGCCUGGGGCCUAUUUGUUAGGGAACCCAGUUUGAGGAGGGAAGAGUCAAGUUUUCAGAGACUUGCUAGUUUGAGGGAAGGUCGUCCCAACCAUGGGGAGUCUGUGUUGGGCAGCUAGACUCUAAGGGAGGGGCCAGGCCUGUGCCAGGCUUUUUGACACAGAUAGGAGUAAACUGGUCUCUGCUGGGAACCUUCACAAGGGCCAGGGGAGCCCUUGUUCGUGUUCAGGCAGGGUCCUGGGGCGUGUCUUCCUGUGGCCCACAGUGCUUGGCUCUGGAACUCCCUGCCUGGCACAGCUGUGAGGUGGCAGGGGAGAGAUCCCCAUUCUUGAGGGUUCAGGGAGGUUCCUCAACGCAGUGGCCCAGCCCACAACCAAGGCUUGCCAGUUUCCCAGCUCCAGGGAGCCCCAAGGUUUCUCAGUUGGGUUCUCCGCUGCCUCAUGACACUUCUGGGGACCAGGCCAGUGGCUCUUGCCUGUGCUCUUGUGGCUCCAGGCGUAGGCUCUAGCAGCUCUUUUUAGAGGGGAGCGGGGCGUUGGGAUGGGAAGAGUAUAGGUCACUGAGCCCCUGCCUGAGUUGGUCCCGCACGAGCGACUAUUCCUCGUUCUCUCCAGGGAGCCCCCGUCUGGGCUCCUGAACUCCCCUGGGGUUUCUUCUGGGCAGUGGCUGCCCCGUCUUCUGUCACCCUCUCUUCUGGCCUCCAUGCCAGCCAGUCCCUCCAGCUUGGAUGACUCCUCCUUCCCUUUUCUGUUGCAGUACUUGGCUGGGAAGGUGGGAGGAUCUCCCAGCCCGGCCCGGGGUACCUGACCCUGGGACUGGAGGGUGAGCGUGGUGGGAGGGCGCAGAGCCCUGCCUCCUGGCCACCAGUCAGUUUUGCAGCUGCAGUCUGCCUGGGACUGGGCGGGCUGGGCUCGUCUGUGUACUGCUGUUGGGCCUGGCCUUCUUCAGGGUGGGGUCCUGCUGACCCCUGUGCCCUGACUUUAGGGGCCAAGCCUGCAUCUUGCUGCUGGGUGGGGAUCACUCCCCACCGCAGAGUUCAUGGGGCAGGUGGGUGGGCCAGGAGGGGAGAGGGCUGCUAAGCCCCUUGCCUGCCUCCCUGACAAGCCAGUGGCGCUCUCUCCUUCUGUUCUGCUAUAGAUGGCAGCUCAGCGGCAGCGGGCACUGGCCAUCAUGUGCCGGGUCUACGUGGGCUCCAUCUACUAUGAGCUAGGGGAGGACACCAUUCGCCAGGCCUUUGCCCCUUUUGGCCCCAUCAAAAGCAUUGACAUGUCCUGGGAUUCUGUCACUAUGAAGCACAAGGUGAGCAGACUAGGUCUACCCCAGUUGCCUUGGCCUACCCUCCUUGGGGUUCUUCCAAGCCUGAUAGGGUUUCCUGUGUCUAGGGCUUUGCCUUUGUGGAAUAUGAAGUCCCAGAAGCUGCACAGCUGGCCUUGGAGCAGAUGAACUCAGUGAUGCUGGGAGGCAGGAACAUCAAGGUGAGGGUGUGGGUGCAGGUGUUGGGCUUUUGGGCCUUGAGAAUGUUCUGUCUAGUCUCCCAGAUGUGUCGAGCAACCUCACAGAAGCCUGCUGUGACUAAGUCUGACAGGUGCUCUCGGUCCCUUCCCCUUCCCCAGGUGGGUAGGCCCAGCAACAUAGGGCAGGCCCAGCCCAUCAUCGACCAGCUGGCUGAGGAGGCACGGGCCUUCAACCGUAUCUACGUGGCCUCCGUGCACCAGGACCUCUCGGAUGAUGACAUCAAGAGUGUGUUUGAGGCCUUUGGCAAGAUCAAGUCUUGCACACUAGCCCGGGACCCCACAACUGGCAAGCACAAGGGCUACGGCUUCAUUGGUGAGCUGGGGGUGCUGAGGAGAGGUGGGGGCCCACCUGGUGCUGGGACUGGCCCUCCUCACUGCUGCUCCUGCCCUGCAGAGUACGAGAAGGCCCAGUCGUCCCAGGAUGCUGUGUCCUCCAUGAACCUCUUUGAUCUGGGUGGCCAGUACUUGCGGGUGGGCAAGGCUGUCACACCCCCCAUGCCCCUGCUAACACCUGCCACCCCAGGAGGCCUUCCGCCUGCUGCCGCUGUGGCCGCAGCUGCAGCCACAGCCAAGAUCACAGCUCAGGUGAGGGGGUGGACAGGUGCUCUAGUCAUUUGGGAGCCAGCUCUUGAUAUGGUCUUGGGUGGAGGUAGCCAGACUGGGGACUGAGUGUGGUUGCCUUCUGGGUUGCAGGAAGCAGUGGCUGGAGCAGCUGUGUUGGGUACCUUGGCAACACCUGGACUGGUGUCCCCAGCACUGACCUUGGCUCAACCCCUAGGGGCUCUGCCCCAGGCUGUCAUGGCUGCCCAAGCUCCUGGAGUCAUCACAGGUGAGUCUGAGUAGGCCAAGGCUCUCCAGGCAUUCCUGCCCCUCAUUUCUAGGCUCUCUGCCUUCACCUGCCCAGGGUGGGCUGGCCAUGGCGACCAGCUCUGCUUCCUGCUAAGGUGGGGGUUGUGGGGAUAGCUGCUGGACCUGGUUGGUUUUGCUGCAGGUGUGACCCCGGCCCGUCCUCCCAUUCCGGUCACCAUCCCCUCUGUGGGGGUGGUGAACCCCAUCCUGGCUAGCCCCCCAACACUGGGUCUCCUGGAGCCCAAGAAGGAGAAGGAAGAGGAGGAGCUGUUUCCUGAGUCUGAACGGCCAGAGAUGCUAAGUGAGCAGGAGCACAUGAGCAUCUCUGGCAGCAGUGCCCGCCACAUGGUCAUGCAGAAGCUGCUGCGCAAGCAGGAGGUGGGUGAACAGACCCUGGGUCGGGAUGUAGGGGUGGGGAACAUCUAGGCAGGCCACAGUGCUCAGCUGUCUCCUCCCCACAGUCCACAGUGAUGGUUCUCCGCAACAUGGUGGAUCCCAAGGACAUCGAUGAUGACCUGGAAGGAGAGGUGACAGAGGAGUGUGGCAAGUUUGGUGCUGUCAACCGUGUCAUCAUCUACCAAGAGAAGCAGGGUGAAGAGGAGGAUGCAGAAAUAAUUGUAAAGAUUUUUGUGGAGUUUUCCAUGGCCUCAGAGACUCACAAGGCCAUCCAGGCCCUCAACGGGCGCUGGUUCGCUGGCCGCAAGGUGGUGGCUGAAGUGUAUGACCAGGAGCGUUUUGAUAACAGUGACCUGUCUGCGUGACCUUGGGCCAGUUUUCUGGACUUGCACUUGUUCCUUGUUUCCUCUGGGUUUUAUAGUGAUAAACAGUGGUGUCCCUGGGACCAGGCACUCGGCUCUACCAAGCCCAACCUGUAGUGUGCAUAAAGUGCAGAUGCUGCUGGCCCUGAGCAUCCCUGUGUCCGGUGGUCCCAUGACCCAGC